GACAGAGGAGCCAAGCGUUGUCCGGAUUGACUGGGCGUAAAGCGCACGCAGGCGGUCGUGCACGUGGGGUGUGAAAACUGGCGGCUUAACUGCCAGAGGCCACCUCAUACGGCGCGACUCGAGCCCGUGAGAGGUCCAUGGAAUUCCUGGUGUAGCGGUGAAAUGCGCAGAUAUCAGGAGGAACACCAGUGGCGAAGGCGGUUCUCUGGGCAUUACCCGACGCUGAGGAGCGAAAGUGUGGGGAGCGAACAGG
rnacentral:rRNA from 1 species